rnacentral:rRNA from 1 species
AUUGAACGCUGGCGGAAUGCUUUACACAUGCAAGUCGAACGGCAGCACGGGGCAACCUGGUGGCGAGUGGCGAACGGGUGAGUAAUACAUCGGAACGUGCCCAAUCGUGGGGGAUAACGUAGCGAAAGUUACGCUAAUACCGCAUACGAUCUACGGAUGAAAGCGGGGGAUCGCAAGACCUCGCGCGAAUGGAGCGGCCGAUGUCAGAUUAGGUAGUUGGUGGGGUAAAGGCUCACCAAGCCAACGAUCUGUAGCUGGUCUGAGAGGACGACCAGCCACACUGGAACUGAGACACGGUCCAGACUCCUACGGGAGGCAGCAGUGGGGAAUUUGGACAAUGGGCGCAAGCCUGAUCCAGCCAUUCCGCGUGCAGGAUGAAGGCCUUCGGGUUGUAAACUGCUUUUGUACGGAACGAAACGGUCUGCCCUAAUACGGUGGGCUAAUGACGGUACCGUAAGAAUAAGCACCGGCUAACUACGUGCCAGCAGCCGCGGUAAUACG